CAGUUAUGUGCAGGCCUGCUAUCGUUGCGCUCUUUAUUAUUUCUUGCAGCAUCCCACUACUCGCUCUCCAAGAUUUCUCCUUCCGUGUCCCUGGAACAAACUACACCUACAAACUACCAAGUUGUAACAGCACUGGAAGCUGUGUUUACCCAUUCAUGUGCUUCUGUCCUGAGCCGACGCCAACAUGGGGAUUUAUGCGCUUUACAGACGACAAUGGCCCUUGGUACUAUGACAACAACACCAAACAAUGCGAACAAAAAGCGGGAGACCCACGUGGCUGCAACCGAUUUACCAGUAGAGAUCAAUGUUUGAGGCAUUGCCCGGGUAAUCUAAGAUUGCUCGGAGGAAGCCAAUGAAUAUUCUCCAGGUCAACUGCAAAUGCCUAUAUUUGGGUUAAAAGCAAGAUUAUUGCAGCUGACAAAGACCUAAAAAUUCCAAUUAUACCUUUGAUAUUUUCUCCUGAACGACUCAGCAUUUUGCAUUUAUAACUUCUUAAAGUAGAGUAUUGACAGGUAUGGCUACUCACUGAAUAAAAUUGGGAUGAAAAUUGG